ensembl:lincRNA
AUGACAUUAUUGUAUUUACUGCAACAGCAACCACACCCUCCCCAGAAGCGUGUUGCUUCUUUACCUUCGGACUCGUCUUCAGCUCCGUCUCUGGACGUUUUGCAGAAGUCAUUUCUGCAAAGGCUGCAAAGCAAAAUGUCAGUGCAGUCCUGUCUCAGCUGCAAAACAGAAUGCCAGGACUGUUUUAUUGUAGCUGUCCUGACUCUGUAUUUUCUUGCCGGGGACCCUGGCCCUGACCACCUAAAUGUCCAACUAACUCCUAACACAUGGACCAGGUGCCGAGAGCCAGGGAGCUCCCAGGGACCAGGCAGGAGGUGGCUGCUGGCACGAGGAAGGUCGGUGGGGAGGCAGGAUGACCUGAAUACCAGGUGAGUCCCCACUCUCUCCAGACUCCAAGCAGAGCACGGAUUGGGAUCUCUAUUGGUGGAGUAAAUUCAGAUGGGUUAUUAGGUGUGGUGUGGGGUUUAGAGGAUUACAGGUGCAGGUUUUGCUGCUCAGCAGGAGCCUCAGCCCUGACCUUCAUGAGACUUCCCAUCGGUGUCAUGUGCACACUCUUCCUGACUGCUGAGAGUCCCCCACCAGCUGGCAUAGGCCAGAUUUCGGCUUUGAUUUCUGCCUGUCCCUGCAUCACUAAAGUCUGGCCCCCGUGGUUUCCCUGAACACAUGGAACUCAGAUUCGCCGUGUCCCUUUUGCUUUUGUGUCCCUUCUCUUCCUGCCCAUCUAUCCAGUUCUACCCACGCUCUGAGGCUGAGAUCAAGUUUUCUCCUGGAACAUGUCCCAGGCCACGUGGCUUCCUCUCUCUGGCUUCCGAUCCCCACCGCUCUCUUUAGCAUGAACCAAAAUACUGUUCUGAAUUGCCCAUAUUGAUCCAGUGUUUCUCUGGAGUGUCCUGUCUCCUUGCUGGUAAAUGAGGGAUUCAGCUGCAAAGCAUACUUUGCAGGUAUGGCAUCCUAGAUGCUAUGCCUGUUUGUCUCAUACCCUCAUCUGGACUGUAAGCUCCUUAAAUGGAGGGACACAGUCUUUUCCUCGCAUUGACUAGCCCACUGCUGGGCCCCGAGUGGGUGUUCCAUAGGAACUUUUGUUUACUUAACCUCUUUGUAUACUUUUUCCUACUGGAACUGGAAGUCUGGUCUUGUAGUCCGCCCUGAAGGGAAAUUGUUCUGCAGUCUACGGAUGUGGCAAACAUUGCCAUGACAUCUCAACUCUCAAUGUAUUCUGUUGCAGGGAGUGGACACUGGGGAGCUCUGCCCAGCAUAGGAAGCUGUCUUAAGAAAGGGGGCCAAGGACACCCCCUCCCCAGCACAUACAUUUGGUGGUAAAGUAGAAAAUAGUGCUCAGCUUGGUUCAUGUUUUUGUUUGGCUCCUUAAAACCCACGGGACUGGGACAAGACACAUGGCCUGUGUGAGCUGCGUUGGCUUACCUCUGAGAUGGCAUUUGUGAUACCUGCCUGUGUCUCUCGAAGGGUUGUUGUGGGAAUAAAAAGAUAAGCCACGGGGAAAUGCUCUGUAAAUGAUGAAGCUAAGAGGGGUAGGUGUGAAGUGUGGUUACUUAACGUCUCAACAUAAAAGGUCAAAAAAGUAAAACAUGAAAAUGAAACAUAAAAAGAGAGUCAAAGAGCUCUCUCUUUUCCUUCCUUCACUGAUGGACAAAGAACCACUUCUCUUCUCUGGAUAAUAGUCUGUAGAGACUCCGUACCCCCUGCCCUGCCAAAAAUAAAAAAUAAAAAAGAAGAAAGAAAUCAAAAGGAAAAAAAAAGUCCAGGAGUGAGAAGGAACAUCCUGGUAUAUUCUGAAAGUUGACUCUGAGAAGAGAGGAAAACAUGAGCAAACAAAAGCUGUCACUCACUGGCAAGCUGCUUCCUCUGGGGAAUAAUCUCUGUGAGGAAAAACUCAAGAUCUGAAUGUUGUUGCCUGGGAGCAGGCGCAGAGACUGUGGCCAUGGCUGGUAAAACAGGAGCCUCUGGGAUGGAGCCUUUUCUGCCCAUUUUUGGGGUAUCAGAAGCUCUGAGGGGGUCAUGCUAUUGGUUAAGAGUCUGCCUGAAUGGGUGCCAUGUCCCUAUUUCUCAGUAUCCCAGCAGCUCUCGUGAAUGGUGCCAGGCCUUGUCCCACUGACGUCGACUGGAACAUACCCACCCACCCUUGGACUCUCACACACUCGUGCCUCUCUUUCCCUUAUCCUGUCCCCACCUCCCUCUUCUCACACCCAUUUGCCUUGCCUGUCAAUUGUCACCCCAUGAAUCAAAGUCAGAGAACUUCCCAAAGUUGGCCACUGGGCCUCUAACCUUCUAGAAAGCUGUUUGUGUGUUAACAGACAACCCCCCCCCCCACCAAACCAAGCACCAUCAUGACUUUCCAAGAUGAUGAUUGAGUUUUUCCCCUGUUCUGCUUGAUAGUUCUGCCAAAGCAAGAAAAAUCCUCAUUGAAGUCUAGCAGGAAAUCCAAUAAAAAUUCUUCAAAAGAUGGGCUUGACAUUGAAAAACAGCAAAAUUAUAAAAUAGGCCUUAGAAAAGAGAGAGGAGAGUUAUUAUAUCUGGCACCAAGCAAAAGCCCCGAGACCCCGUCCAAAUGAGCCAUCACAGAUUGAAAGUGUUUAGCUUCCCGUUGAUUAAAUAUGGAGAAGGACCCAGGGCCUGCCAAGCCUCCGGGAUCCAAAGUUUGUUUUUAGUCAGAAUGUGUUUUCAGUCAAUGGAAAAAAUGGUCGGCCUGCGCUGGGCUAUGUAACCGAGAAGCCCCAGGUUUGGGGUGAGUAAUGGCUGUGAGGCAGAAAACCAUGAGGGCUGUUAAUCAUCCCUCCCAGGCCCCUGUAAUUUAACUCAGCGACUCAUUCCACUUGGAAGGCUCCCCCCCAUCCCCUUUCUUCCUUCUCCCUCAGUUGAUUUUUGCUCAGGGGGGAAUAGAUGAGUCCUUCUGAUGCUUAUCUCUGUGUUUCAGUUGUGAAGACUCCUCACCCGCAAGACAUCCCUCUCCCGGGACAGGUCCCCAUUGCCCCGCUUCUCUGAACACCCCCGGGACAGGAGAAGUGAAAGAGGGGCCGCGGUCACAUCCGUGGGGUUCUUCCAGGGAUCUCUCUUUGUCCCAUGAACUUCCUGGAAUGGAGGCCUGGAAAAAUCUCUUCCUUCAUGGGUUUCCGAGGUGUUUACUGACAUUCUUUAAACUGGGUUAUCUUAUUCCAGGCUUGCAGUUUUCUUUUUUCCUGAGCUCUCCUCUGGCCUGCUGCAUUCCCAUACAAUUAAGAGGAUAGGGAGCCUGGUUUUGAAGGUCAUGAAAGGCGCUAGGAGUGAGACUCUGAGGCAGAGAAUGAGGAGGAGAGAGCUGGCGCGCAGCUGGAACUCUGAGGUAAGCGGAACCUCCUUUCCUGUCAAAUGCAAACACCUCUUCUAUUUUUCUGCUUCAAGUUUUACACCCUGUGAGCAGCCUCAGGGGAGCGGGGAUGCGGGUGCAUUUCUGAUUCUCUUCCCUGUGAGCCUUCCUCGGGGCGCGGGAACCAGGGUCUUCCCUGGAAGGAUGGGUUUCCCUGGCUUCCCCUCUCCCGAUGACCGUGAUUCAUGGGGCCCACUGCACCGAAAUCUGUUUACAAUUGCAGGGGGUAGGCCCUGCUGAGCAUUCUUUUGGUCUGUCGUUCCUUGCAAAAUGGUGGUUGGCCUGAGCCGCAGCUUGCACACAGUGUGGGCGGCUUGAUACCUUUCGGUUGGGCACCCAAAUUUGGUUAUAGGAAGUCACUCCGACCAAAUAUUUUUUGAGGACUAGGCAAAUAAACUAGAGAAAAUGAGUAAAUAAAUAGCUUGAAAAUGAUGACAUGUGAAAUGCUCAGUGGUUUAGUGGAAACAGACUCUUAAGGAGAGCAAGUCUCAGGCAGCUCGGCUGCAGAGGCCACCGGCCCAGUCAGUGGAUGCCCUGAAUAAUGAGCGACGAAGGGGUCAGGAAGAGACCGCUCCAUGGGGCUACGUUGCCCCAAAUAGCAGCUAGAUGGGCUCUGGGCAGGAACGUAAAUAAACGCCGUGGAGAGGUUGUAGCGCGUCUGUACGCAGGCGUGUGCGCAUGUGCGUGUCUGUACGUGCGCGUGCGCAGAAGAGGGAGCUGCUUCGGCUGCCGCCAUUCUGGGGGCGGUGGUCAAGGAGGACCUUAUAAGUGAGUCAAAGCUGGUUUUCAGGUACAACCCUCUUUCUUCACAUUAUUUUAGUCCUCCUCCUCUUCAUCAUGGCUAUUACUUAUUGAGUCAUGGUGACGUGCCCGCAUGGUGCUGGCAGCUUUCUGUGUUAUCUGAUGUAGUCCUUCUAACAGCUCCUUAGAACAUGCCUUAUUUGCCGCCUUCGCAAUAGGUAUCUGAAAUUCAGCUUCCAGAAGAACCCAAAGCUUGACAGUGACAGAGUCAGGAUCUGAACUCCGGUCUUGUCUAGUUUCCUGCCUUGAACCCACAAAGGCAGUCUGGUGGGCAGGUUCUGGCAGGCAGUCAUCCCAGGGCCCAGACAUUUGGAGAGAACCCAGUAGGGUCCAAAUCAAAAACCCCACUUCAUAAGGGGAAGAAAACCAGAAGUCUCAUCAGGUGGGGAGCCUGCAUUUCAAAAGUUGUGGAGGCUGCUGAGUGCCUCACGGACAACAAGCAAGCCCAGAUUGGAAGGGUCAGUGGCGGGUCACUGUCACCAUCAAUCACCACAAUCCCUUUGUCGGGGUGAGUGGGAAGGGCCUGGGUUGGGCACCAAGCAGAGAGGGUGAACCAACAGAAUUGAAGGGACUCUGCUGGUGGCAGGAGAUGGGAAGGGGCAUUCACAAUUCUUAUGCAAAUCUCCAUGGUUUGGGGAAUACCCUGGUGGGAGAGAAUAUGCUAUCUCUAGGUCCCAGAACUGUGAUGAUGACCGGCAUUCCCAUAACAAGCUAGCGCAUCCCGAGGUUGAGUCACCUCUAAAGAAGACUUGAUUUUUUAAUGUGUCUGUUCAUCCAGUUUGCUUCCUUGACCCACAUCACCACAGAGCUGGAAGUUAUCAAGAAAUACAUUAUGAUGUAUUCAGAGUCAAUUACCAUUGGG